rnacentral:lncRNA from 1 species
CUAAAGGAUUACUUGAGUAUGGAUGCCUCUUUUUGUGGGUCCAUACGCGUAAAUGAAAACUUAGAAGAAGAAAAGGAUGACAAUAAACUAAGUUAUUUGGAAGAAUUGGAAAAACUGAGAAAAAAGGUACCAUGAUGUUCCCAAAUUGAGGUUAUUUCGUGAUUCAUUGUGAAUGAAAUUUGACAUCAAAGUGAAUGGUGAAACUAAGAUUGGACAGUUGAGAGUGAUGGGACCAAGAGGUGCAUUGGAAUAAAUGUAGAAGGAGAAAAAUGCAGGACGAAAAUUCUCCCACUAAGAACUUGAAGGCAUUUGUUGAGGAGUUUGGAGAUGAUUGUUAAUAAUUUAUCGUCUAGAAUUCAAUUUAUUUUUAUCUUCAGAUUGCUUAUCUUGUCUAUCUUUAGAACAAGAGGGCUCGACUAGUGAACUAUUAAGCACUCUUUCAAGGGCGGCAUCGUCUAAGCAAAUCUCUUCAGUGUCUCUCCACUAUUUAUUCAAUAUUUUCAUCUUUUAUACUUUAUUUUCGAGAACUUAGUUUUACAUUGUAUUAUAAAAAAUGUUGCAAUGUUUUCUUAUGAUAAGUACAUAUUUUAUCAUCACUAGAUAAAAUUGACUUUUGUCAAUAGGAGGAAUACUGCAAAUAGGGUUUUUGAAACUUGCAUCUGUAUGUUGCGUCCUUCGAUGUUGUCGAAAAGUAGACGACUUCGGCAAGUGUUGAUAUUUGUCACGAAAGAUUAAAAAAAAAAGGUGUUGUUAUUACUUAUUUAGCAAUGUACAUAUGGGUUUUAACAGCACACAUUGGCAUGUAGCGAUACAAAAUACGUGUAAUCGUUGCACAACGUUCAAAUGUUCGUUAUCAUUUAUUACAAUAGUUUGUAUAUCUUGUCAUAUUUAUUAAAAAAUGUUUUUGAUAACAUUCAUCUACAUGUUGUCUUUUCUUUUUUUACAACAGUUUAUGCACAUUGUCAUUUUUGUGUUUUUGACAACAUACAUCUACAUGCUAUCUUACUGUACCUAUUUAAAAAAGGAAAAUUAUAUUUAUACAUCAGUCAUGCCAGAAUUUUUUUACAGCAUUAACACGUGGUGAUAUUUUGAAUUGAAAAAUACGGGUCAGACUCUAUCUUUCUCUCCCAUAAUUUAUUAUCCACCCAACCACUCAGAAUAUCUCUCUCUCCCAUCAUUUAUUAUCCACCCAACCACUCAUCCAAACCACUCAUAUUUAUCACUAUCGUCUCUCUCACUAUCCGAUGUUGCCAUAUGAAAAUUCCCACGCCCGUCGGUGCUACUGUCUAAAAGUUUACAACCCACCGAUGCUGCCGUCUUUGCAAACCGUCGAUGCUACAGCCUCAACUUAUUUAAAUCGUCGGCGUCUGGAAUUCUCGAAAUCAAUUGUACGGUAUGUGAAAUUUCCAAACAUCUUUUCGAUGAUCAAUAACUAUCAUGAAUAUAAGCUACUAUAUACUUUGAACACACUUUCAGUCAAUAAUAUCAUAUACAAUCUCACUUUCCUUUCCUUGAAACAAAGAUCACUAUUUUGUAGUGUUGAUAUAUAUAUUUUGUAUGCAUUUUUUGCCUUAAUCAAGAACAAGUGCUACGGUUUCUCUCAUUAACUUCUCUUGAAAUGAUUUGCAUUUUGUCUACCAAUUUCUAUAUUGCCUUCUUAUUUCUAGUUUAUUCAAUUGUUGAUAUAUAUUCUGCAUGUAGUUUUUUCAAUGCUCAUAGAAUCUGAAGACAACUGAUUUGAUUGAAAAUAAUGUGUAUAGGGAAGUCAUUAUUUCGUGUUCAAUUGCACUUGCACUCUAUUUUAUGGAGAUCGAAUUCUGACUUUGGGCUUCUUGAAUUGCACUGUAUGCUAGAGUUUGCUCCAUGACAGAAGGAACAGAGGUAUAUGCCAUAGCUGCAGAAUGUCGGGUCAUUCGUUCUCGGAAUGUUCGAGAAAGAGAAGAUACCCGAAAUGUGGCAAGGGGUUCGUGAAGUGGAUAGAGGUGGAAAAAAAUAGUGAAAACAAAGGAUGGUUGUUCCAUUACUAUACUCGUGACUGUAGGCAUUUCAAGUGGUCUGAUGUUUCGUCACAUGACGAUGGGCUAGUGCAUUACGAAGGUGAAUCAAGUGGCUCUUCUUGGGGAUCAUAUAAGUUCAACAAUCCAACUGUGGACCUAUCAAGUGUGUUUCAAAAAUGCAUUAAUGUAGCCGAUGAAAAUGACCAUUUGGAGAUUUCUCUCAACAUAACUCUUCGCAAAGGGAAACGAGAUUUGGAUGACGAAGAGAGAGCAAAAAAAAGGGGUGUUAAUUAGACGGUG